GUGUAACUGAAGAUCUGUGUGCAACUGAAGUCAUACCAGAGUUUGAAGUAAUGAUCCGAUUAUCUGUAUAAGAGAGUUUUAUUCAGAUGCACCAUAUUGUAAAAAUAGGUGUAGACAGAAAAUAUGAUUAUCCUGACCUCAGCUAAUUUACUGAAUCAACCUACUCACAUCUCCUUUCUUUCUUUUCAUGAUGACAUUAAAGUCAUCUGUUGCCAUUUCUGGUGUUUCAUCGAUGACUCUAAACCAAACCAAACCCUAAUCCUGACCCUAUAAGUACAUGUAAUUAAUGUAACUGAUGAUCUUAUUAAUAAAAUUAAGUGAUUUUAACUUAUUUUGAGUAAGUUUGUUGACCUUACUGAGUUUAACUAAGUAACAACAACUUUUUAGAACUGAAAGAUAUUAAACUCAAUAGAUUCAAUUAUCCUCUACUUAAAAUAAUGAGUAGUAUGAAAUUUUUUGAGUGGUCAUGCACAGUUCUACCUGUAGGUGGAGUCAAUUUGCAUCGUAUUCUGAGGGGAGAAGCACAUGGAACGAUUUCUUAAGAUUAAAAUGUUUGAAGACUACACAAUGGAUCUGUUUUGUGGAAUGAGAUAUGCAUUGGAAAUAUCAAUGCAGAGUUCAAUCACAUCACAAUCAGAAGCCUCAAUCAAGAAUUCUUCUCAGCGCUUUGUCAACUUGCAGCUUGAUUUCUGGAAAUUUGUGCAGUUGAAAGUGGCAGUUGAAAAGAGAGUUUAUUGCGCAAAUUAAAUCUAUGCACUGACAUCACUGCUAAGUGCACAGUUCUUCAUGGCCUUCCUCUCAUUCUUGGAGAAGAAACCUCUGAUUUUUUUAAACAUUGCUGACAGGACUGUGAUUGUGACACACCCUUCUUCAGGAUUCUGACCGUGAUAACAGAAGACAGCCAGGAUUCUUCCUCCACAAGAACUACAUUUAGGAGUCUUCAUGCACAGCAUUAUUCUAGACUGAGCCAUUAUCAUGGAUGAACUUGAAAACCUUCCAGGUGCCAUGUGACUAAUUUCUGGACUGAUAUGUGCCAAAUUUGGAGUUUUUCUUUCCCUUGGACACAAUUCUCUGAAACCAAAACUACAUUUACUUAAAACCCUUCUGUUGAUGUAAGCAAAGGCUGUUUGAGAUCGUUAAAGGCUUAGUUCACCCAAAAAUGUAAAUUCUGUCAUCAGUUUUUCACUCUCAUGUUGUUUGACUUUGGUUAGUCUUUCACUUAGAUAGUCUUGGUUAGUCUUUUCACAAACUUAGAUAUUUUUAAAGAAAACAGGCUGGAAAACUUUUUGGAUCUUUUAAGUUUUGGUUACCUGGACUUUCAGUUGGAGGGACAGAAACCUCUCAGAUUUCAUUAAAAAUAAUUUCAUUUAUGUUUCAAAGUCUAACCAAAGUCUUAUGAGUUUGUGACGUCAUGAGGGUGAGUAAAUGAUGAGAGAAUUUCAUUUUUUUUUUUUUUGCGAACUAUCGCUUGAAUCUUGCUGUUGCACUAAAGCCAACAUUCUUUUUAAUUAAAGUGUUAAAUUGUCACCUGCCAAAGUUUAAACUGUCAAAAUUAAGCUAACAUUGAUUUUUGUUUCAUGGUCUGCUAUUCAGUUUCUUGUCAAAAGACUGUUAGUAUUAUUGGUUUAUUCAUCAGUCAUGAUUUGUAAUGCAUAUUGUUACAUUAAUGAAAAAUGUUUAGAAUUUAGGGGUGCCAGAAUGGCAUUGUUUGGUACAUCGUAGUGUCUGAAGAAAAUUGAUGAGCAAUAAAUAAUGUUUUGCCUGA